rnacentral:rRNA from 1 species
AGUGGGGAAUAUUGGGCAAUGGGCGAAAGCCUGACCCAGCAACGCCGCGUGAAGGAAGAAGGUUUUCGGAUCGUAAACUUCUAUCCCGGGUGAAGAUAAUGACGGUAGCCCGGAAGGAAGCCCCGGCUAACUACGUGCCAGCAGCCGCGGUAAUACGUAGGGGGCAAGCGUUGUCCGGAAUGAUUGGGCGUAAAGGGCGCGUAGGCGGCCUUGUAAGUCCGAUGUGAAAUUCCUGCUUUUAAGGUAGGAAUUGCAUUGGAAACUGUAGGGCUUGAGUGCAGGAGAGGUAAGCGGAAUUCCCGGUGUAGCGGUGAAAUGCGUAGAGAUCGGGAGGAACACCAGUGGCGAAGGCGGCUUACUGGACUGUAACUGACGCUGAGGCGCGAAAGUGUGGGGAGCAAACAGGAUUANAUACCCUGGUAAUCCACACUGUAAACGAUGAAUGCUAUGUGUAGGAGGUAUCGACCCCUUCUGUGCCGGAGUCA